UCUGAGAAUCCUAACCGCCACCAAAACUAAAUCAAACCACAAGAAAGACGAGACUACCAUUGUGAGACAACCGAGACUUUGAUUCCCUCAAACCAAAGAUGAAGUCUUCUAGCUAACUGGGACAAGAGGACACAUGUAACCAGUUGAAGAUACUAGGAACGGAGACCGACUUUGAAACAAUGUUGAUUCAGCCUCCACUUUCGCCUCAAUGAUAAAGCUCUUACAAAACCACCACCUGAAACUACGGAAACAUUGACGAGGGGAAAGCCGAAAACUACUUGAAAGAGAAAGAGCAUUCACACAGCACUGGCGGGGAAAGCCAGUGGGCUUGAUUUACUUAGUAAAAAGUAAACUUAGCUCAAUCUUAUGCAAUAUGUUAUUGAUGAUUGUUCUUUGACUGCCGCUUGGA